UACAUCAUCCCAGGUCUACGUCAUCCCAGGUCUAACUAACUACAUCAUCCCACGUCUACGUCAUCCCAAGUCUAACUAACUACAUCAUCCCAGAUCUAUUAACUACUCUACAUCAUCCCAGGUCUACUAACUACUCUACAUCAUCCCAGGUCUACGUCAUCCCAGGUUUAACCAACUACUCUACAUCAUCCCAGGUCUACUAACUACUCUACAUCAUCCCAGGUCUAUGUCAUCCCAGGUCUACUAACUACUCUAUAUUCUCUACCCACAACCGCUGUGUGUGUGUGUGUGUGUGUGUGUGUAACGUAGGCACAUGAGAGGGCAAGCGAGACAAAGCCUGUUAGAACAUUUUAGACCAUCUCUGGCAAGACUUACUGACUUCUGAACCAGAGCGGAAGUGUCUUUGAUCUUUAAA
rnacentral:lncRNA from 1 species